rnacentral:rRNA from 1 species
ACGCUGGCGGCGUGCCUAAUACAUGCAAGUAGAACGCUGAAGAGAGGAGCUUGCUCUUCUUGAAUGAGUUGCGAACGGGUGAGUAACGCGUAGGUAACCUGCCUUGUAGCGGGGGAUAACUAUUGGAAACGAUAGCUAAUACCGCAUAACAAUGGGUGACACAUGUCAUUUAUUUGAAAGGGGCAAUUGCUCCACUACAAGAUGGACCUGCGUUGUAUUAGCUAGUAGGUGAGGUAACGGCUCACCUAGGCGACGAUACAUAGCCGACCUGAGAGGGUGAUCGGCCACACUGGGACUGAGACACGGCCCAGACUCCUACGGGAGGCAGCAGUAGGGAAUCUUCGGCAAUGGGGGCAACCCUGACCGAGCAACGCCGCGUGAGUGAAGAAGGUUUUCGGAUCGUAAAGCUCUGUUGUAAGUCAAGAACGAGUGUGAGAGUGGAAAGUUCACACUGUGACGGUAGCUUACCAGAAAGGGACGGCUAACUACGUGCCAGCAGCCGCGGUAAUACGUAGGUCCCGAGCGUUGUCCGGAUUUAUUGGGCGUAAAGCGAGCGCAGGCGGUUUGAUAAGUCUGAAGUUAAAGGCUGUGGCUCAACCAUAGUUCGCUUUGGAAACUGUCGAACUUGAGUGCAGAAGGGGAGAGUGGAAUUCCAUGUGUAGCGGUAAAAUGCGUAGAUAUAUGGAGGAACACCGGUGGCGAAAGCGGCUCUCUGGUCUGUAACUGACGCUGAGGCUCGAAAGCGUGGGGAGCGAACAGGAUUAGAUACCCUGGUAGUCCACGCCGUAAACGAUGAGUGCUAGGUGUUGGAUCCUUUCCGGGAUUCAGCGCCGCAGCUAACGCAUUAAGCACUCCGCCUGGGGAGUACGACCGCAAGGUUGAAACUCAAAGGAAUUGACGGGGGCCCGCA